rnacentral:tRNA from 1 species
GCCGGAGUAGCUCAAUUGGUAGAGUACCGCAUUCGUAAUGCGGAGGUUAUAGGUUCAAAUCCUAUCUUCGGCA